UUGGCAAUGGUCUCCGAUGAGCCACCAACGCAUUAGUUCUGCUUUCUCAAUGGAGCAUGGAUGUAUUGGUUUUUGUUAUGGGUCCAAUCGAAAAAGAAAUGAAAAGCAGUCUCAAAAUAGAAAAUCAAAGCUGCCAUCUCAAAAGUGAGAUCCUCCAUCCUAAAGGACCAGAGGCAGUAGCUCGGGGCUAUACCUAGAGGUCAGGCACGUCUCUAUAGGGAGAUCGGUCAACCCGUUUGUUCUGAUCAUGGACAGGGAUAUAGCUUCAGGUGCCACCUACUGCGGUUGUUGCCGAAGUCUCCAUGGAGGUGAACAGAUGUAGAACCAGCUCCCCCAAGUGCAUCGGCCUCGUGUUCUCCAAUUAGUAGCAGAUUCGGUGAUCACACUAAGAAACCACUCCAGCAUGAGAGCGUUGCCGGCGCUAAGUGAUGGUCCAGUGGAAGCAGAGAUGGAAGAACCGCAGUAUUGACUUGCAGAUCUUCACAAGCUUCUUGAUUCGACAUGCCCGUUAUCUUCUCCUUUGAUUGACUGCCAAAACUUAUCCACAUCUGGGAUGUUGCUAUUGUCCAGAGUGGCCAAGACCGCCAGCUCACAGCUCCCACCUGUCAAACUUUUCCUCUGAGCAAUCAAAACUCUUGCUCCCUAAGAGGAAACGGAUUCAAGGCUCUAUUGUCAAGGUAGACGGAGUGAAAGUGAGCGUGCAGAGGAAUUGGAGAGUGGCCAAAGUGUAGCCCCUUUAAGAGACCUCUCAGAGGCGAAAAUCCAUCUCGAACUACAGUCUCUUUAGCAGCUAUAGAGGAAGAAGCGUCAGUCUUACGCUUCUUGCUUCCUUCCUUGUAGAUCUCCAUCUUUACGCUUCUUGCUCCCUUUCUUGUAGAUCUCCAUUUCCUUCCUUGUAGAUCUCCAUCUCUACAGUCUCUUUAGCAGCUAUAGAGGAAGAAGCGUCAGUCUUACGCUUCUUGCUUCCUUCCUUGUAGAUCUCCAUCUUUACGCUUCUUGCUCCCUUUCUUGUAGAUCUCCAUUUUCUUGGGAGCCAUCCUAGGAAACCAAGACGAGCACACAGGAGACCGGAACAUCAACCAUUCUACUAGGAAAAAAUAUGCAAAGAUGCUCACAACUAGAUAUGGCUUGGCAAGAUGCCAUGGGAAAUCAUCAACAAUUGAGCAAUAGUAAUUAGUUAUUCAAAAAGAAGGACUAGUUAACAACUUAAUCAACAGGAAUGAAGGAGUUACAAUGAACAUCAAUGCCAAAAAUGCACAAAGGAAUCACCAUCAACAGUUUGUUCCAAGAUAUAUAAAAGAAAAUCAAUGGAGUCAAAUGGCAAGGAAGAGUGAGAAACAAUUCUAAACAAGGAAGUAAAAUAAUUUGUUAUUCAAAAAUAGCUAUCAUCCUAAAUCACUGGCAUAAUUCACAAGAAAACUCAACACUCAAUUCCAAGCACGCGGAAUUAAAAAAAAAAAAGCUUCAAUUAUAUAGCAUGAAUCCACACGAAGCAUCAACAUUGAUCAUGUGUCAGCAAAAGAAUUCAAAGGCAAUUGAAUCACAAGAUCAGAAUACAAGUUGUAAUGAACACCAAUUAGCUACAAGUAGGCAAUAAAACAAUGGUCAAAACAAGUACAUCAUCCGAGAAUAGAAUUGAAAAAAGUACAACUAAAUUGCUAGUAUUAAAGUUCAGAAUCAAACAUUGCAAUCAAAACACAUUUUAUCCUAAAUCAACUCAAAUGAACACCCCACACUUGAACCGUUUGUGUCCCUGCAAACAUGAAAUUGGCAAGCACAUGGGAACAAUCCAAACAAGUGAGCACAACCAUCCCAACAAAAUUUGACCAAUUCCACAAUGGCAACACGAAAGUGAGGCAAAACAAGCACCAGUCCCACAAUCAAGAACAAUGAACAAUCAAAACAACACAAUUGAAAAACCCGAAAAACAAAAUUUAGAAAUUAAAAUCUAGAUCUGAAAACUGACCGCACAAAUCCAAGAAAAAACUAAAGGAAAGGGGGUGGAGUCACCUAACUCUAAGGCGGAUGGUGGGGGGCGGUCUGAAGAGCAGCUAGCGAUGGAUGGCGGUGCGGUGGUGGUGUUGGAGUUUACAGUAGGAAUGGAGGGAGGCGUGGGAUGGGUCAGCAGGAGGUUAGGGAAGUGGAAGGUGGCGGUGGGACGGGGUUGGUAGUAAGCUGCGGAGGGAACAAAAGGCGGUGGCGCUGGGAGAGGUUUUGGUGACGGUAAAAGAAGAGGUUUAGGGCUGAGGAGGAAACACGAGAGAAGGAAAUGAGAGAGAGAGGUGAGGGGGAGAAGUUGUGUUGUCAGAACCGGCCCGUCCCGGUCGGUCAGCCCGUGAAAAUCGUCACCCGUUAAAGCGGCGGGAAGCUCACAAAAUCGGAAAAAUAUGACCCGUGGGUCAGACUAAGUUUUUGCACUAAAUAUCGGUCAAUCCAGUUGAAAACUGG
rnacentral:lncRNA from 1 species